UACGGAGGGAGCUAGCGUUGUUCGGAAUUACUGGGCGUAAAGCGCACGUAGGCGGCUUUGUAAGUUAGAGGUGAAAGCCCGGGGCUCAACUCCGGAAUUGCCUUUAAGACUGCAUCGCUAGAAUUGUGGAGAGGUAAGUGGAAUUCCGAGUGUAGAGGUGAAAUUCGUAGAUAUUCGGAAGAACACCAGUGGCGAAGGCGACUUACUGGACACAUAUUGACGCUGAGGUGCGAAAGCGUGGGGAGCAAACAGG
rnacentral:rRNA from 1 species